rnacentral:rRNA from 1 species
CACGUAGGGCGCAAGCGUUGUCCGGAAUUAUUGGGCGUAAAGAGCUCGUAGGCGGUGUGUCGCGUCGGCCGUGAAAACCUGCAGCUUAACUGUGGGCUUGCGGUCGAUACGGGCAUCACUGGAGUUCGGCAGGGGAGACUGGAAUUCCUGGUGUAGCGGUGAAAUGCGCAGAUAUCAGGAGGAACACCAACGGCGAAGGCAGCACUCUGGGCCGGUACUGACGCUGAGGAGCGAAAGCGUGGGGAGCAAACAGG